GAUGAACGCUGGCGGCGUGCCUAAUACAUGCAAGUCGAGCGAACGGACGAGAAGCUUGCUUCUCUGAUGUUAGCGGCGGACGGGUGAGUAACACGUGGAUAACCUACCUAUAAGACUGGGAUAACUUCGGGAAACCGGAGCUAAUACCGGAUAAUAUUUUGAACCGCAUGGUUCAAAAGUGAAAGACGGUCUUGCUGUCACUUAUGGAUGGAUCCGCGCUGCAUUAGCUAGUUGGUAAGGUAACGGCUUACCAAGGCAACGAUGCAUAGCCGACCUGAGAGGGUGAUCGGCCACACUGGAAGUGAGACACGGUCCAGACUCCUACGGGAGGCAGCAGUAGGGAAUCUUCCGCAAUGGGCGAAAGCCUGACGGAGCAACGCCGCGUGAGUGAUGAAGGUCUUCGGAUCGUAAAACUCUGUUAUUAGGGAAGAACAUAUGUGUAAGUAACUGUGCACAUCUUGACGGUACCUAAUCAGAAAGCCACGGCUAACUACGUG
rnacentral:rRNA from 1 species